GGCCGCGCUACUCUUAUAAUCCCUAACGUAGUUGGGAUUGACGUUUGUAAUCAGCGUCAUGAACCAGGAAUCCCUUGUAAAUGUGUGUCAACAACGCACGUUGAAUACGUCCCUGCCCUUUGUACACACCGCCCGUCGCUCCUACCGAU
rnacentral:rRNA from 1 species